rnacentral:rRNA from 1 species
GAGCGCCCCGCAAGGGGAGCGGCAGACGGGUGAGCAACACGUGGGAAUCUACCCAGCUCUACGGAACAACCCAGGGAAACUUGGACUAAUACCGUAUACGUCCUUCGGGAGAAAGAUUUAUCGGAGUUGGAUGAGCCCGCGUCGGAUUAGCUAGUUGGUGAGGUAAUGGCUCACCAAGGCGACGAUCCGUAGCUGGUCUGAGAGGAUGAUCAGCCACACUGGGACUGAGACACGGCCCAGACUCCUACGGGAGGCAGCAGUGGGGAAUAUUGGACAAUGGGCGAAAGCCUGAUCCAGCCAUGCCGCGUGAGUGAUGAAGGCCCUAGGGUUGUAAAGCUCUUUCACCGGGGAAGAUAAUGACGGUACCCGGAGAAGAAGCCCCGGCUAACUUCGUGCCAGCAGCCGCGGUAAUACGAAGGGGGCUAGCGUUGUUCGGAAUUACUGGGCGUAAAGCGCACGUAGGCGGACUGGUCAGUUAGGGGUGAAAUCCCGGGGCUCAACCCCGGAACUGCCUUUAAUACUGCCAGUCUAGAGUUCGAGAGAGGUGAG